GUGGGGAAUAUUGGGCAAUGGGCGAAAGCCUGACCCAGCAACGCCGCGUGAAGGAAGAAGGUCUUCGGAUCGUAAACUUCUAUCCUUGGUGAAGAUAAUGACGGUAGCCGAGAAGGAAGCCCCGGCUAACUACGUGCCAGCAGCCGCGGUAAUACGUAGGGGGCAAGCGUUGUCCGGAAUGAUUGGGCGUAAAGGGCGCGUAGGCGGCCUGGUAAGUCUGGAGUGAAAGUACUGCUUUUAAGGUGGGAAUUGCUUUGGAUACUGUCGGGCUUGAGUGCAGGAGAGGAAAGUGGAAUUCCCGGUGUAGCGGUGAAAUGCGUAGAGAUCGGGAGGAACACCAGUGGCGAAGGCGACUUACUGGACUGUAACUGACGCUGAGGCGCGAAAGUGUGGGGAGCAAACAGGAUUAGAAACCCCGGUAGUCC
rnacentral:rRNA from 1 species